CAGCAGCAGCUGCGGAGGGGACCUGCUGUGGUCUCAAUCCCCGCCGCUGCCCUAAUCACCUCCACCUGGCCGCGCAGGUGGAGGCGAUCAGGUCUCCAGUCCCCGCCACUGCCCUAAUCGCCUCCACCUGCCGGCCUCGUGGCAGGCAGAGGAGCUUGCGGUGGGUCCCUGCGCCCUGCCCCACCUCAGCCCUCUUCUCCCCCAGGCUGCGGAGCAACCCCGCAGGGGCACGCUGCGGUGUACUGGGAAAGGGGUGGCGAACGUGGGGUGCAGCGACGGCUUCCUCCCCUGGGGCAAGCUUUGUGAUGGGGUCACUGCAGUACUGUUUAGGACACGGCCCGUCCCAGAGCUGAGGGCGCAGUGCAAGGCCCAGGGAGCUGCCGCAGCCGGUGGCUUCCUCGCCUCUCCUGGAGCCCGGGGCUGAGCCGAAGCGCAGCGCUGCAGCGUCUCGGGCAGCAGAGCCUACGCCGUUCGUAACCCCCGGGGGUGCAGUGUCACCGGAAAGUUACUGGCAUCUGGAGUAGUAUCUGCUUGCAUCUGUGGUCAUGCAGCCUGGCAAGAAGAUUCGUGGAACUUGGAGGCACACUAGCAGGGAGUAUCCUCUUCUGACAGCUACUGGAGGCAGUAAGUCAUAGGUGCUAGGCAGACCUACGGUCACAUCCUGUUUGUACUUGUGUAUCUGAUUUGCCACCCAUGGCAUUAAACAUGUCAAUAGAUGUUGUCGUCCUGAUAGACUGGGUAGAAACUCAUGGCAAUAACAGCACAAAGCCUUCAGUGAACCAUGCCUAUGAUUUGCAUUUUGCUAUUGUAACAAGGAUCUUGCUGUGGUGUUCUGCACUGUGCCACAGCCGAACCACGUGGUUUGUGUUUUCAGUGUUGGUUUAUCUCUACACUAAUAUGUUUUGUAAUCAUACUUCAUGGAUCUCUAAUCAGUGAAAAAAUAAUUUUCCUGGAUUCCUUA